UACGGGGGGGGCAAGCGUUGUUCGGAAUUACUGGGCGUAAAGGGCUCGUAGGUGGCCAACUAAGUCAGACGUGAAAUCCCUCGGCUCAACUGGGGAGGGUCACGCGAUACUGAUCGACUGGAAGGCAGGAGAGGGUAGUGGAAUUCCCGGUGUAGUGGUGAAAUGCGUAGAUAUCGGGAGGAACACCAGUGGCGAAGGCGACUACCUGGCCUGUUCUUGACGCUGAGGCGCGAAAGCUAGGGGAGCAAACGGG
rnacentral:rRNA from 1 species